rnacentral:rRNA from 1 species
CCUACGGGUGGCAGCAGUGGGGAAUAUUGCACAAUGGGGGAAACCCUGAUGCAGCGACGCCGCGUGGGUGAAGGAGUGCUUUGGCAGGUAAAGCCCUAUUGGCAGGGAGGAAGCAAGACGGUACCUGACCAAGAAGACACGGCUAACUACGUGGCAGCAGCUGCGGUAAUACGUAGGGGGCGAGCGUUACCGGGGUUCACUGGGUGAAAAGGGGGCGUAGACGGCCAUGCAAGCAAGGGGUGAAAGCCCGGGGCCCAGCCCCGGGACUGCCCUUGGAACUGCAUGGCUGGAGUGCGGGGGGGGCAGGCGGAAUUCCUGGUGUAGCGGUGAAAUGCGUAGAUAUCAGGAGGAACACCGGCGGCGAAGGCGGCCUGCUGGACCGCGACUGACGUUGAGGCUCGAAAGCGUGGGGAGCGAACAGGAUUAGAUACCCCUGUAGUC